rnacentral:rRNA from 1 species
UUGAACGCUGGCGGCAGGCCUAACACAUGCAAGUCGAGCGGUAGCACAGAGAGCUUGCUCUCGGGUGACGAGCGGCGGACGGGUGAGUAAUGUCUGGGAAACUGCCUGAUGGAGGGGGAUAACUACUGGAAACGGUAGCUAAUACCGCAUAAUGUCGCAAGACCAAAGUGGGGGACCUUCGGGCCUCAUGCCAUCAGAUGUGCCCAGAUGGGAUUAGCUAGUAGGUGGGGUAACGGCUCACCUAGGCGACGAUCCCUAGCUGGUCUGAGAGGAUGACCAGCCACACUGGAACUGAGACACGGUCCAGACUCCUACGGGAGGCAGCAGUGGGGAAUAUUGCACAAUGGGCGCAAGCCUGAUGCAGCCAUGCCGCGUGUGUGAAGAAGGCCUUCGGGUUGUAAAGCACUUUCAGCGGGGAGGAAGGCGUUAAGGUUAAUAACCUUGGCGAUUGACGUUACCCGCAGAAGAAGCACCGGCUAACUCCGUGCCAGCAGCCGCGGUAAUACGGAGGGUGCAAGCGUUAAUCGGAAUUACUGGGCGUAAAGCGCACGCAGGCGGUCUGUCAAGUCGGAUGUGAAAUCCCCGGGCUCAACCUGGGAACUGCAUUCGAAACUGGCAGGCUAGAGUCUUGUAGAGGGGGGUAGAAUUCCAGGUGUAGCGGUGAAAUGCGUAGAGAUCUGGAGGAAUACCGGUGGCGAAGGCGGCCCCCUGGACAAAGACUGACGCUCAGGUGCGAAAGCGUGGGGAGCAAACAGGAUUAGAUACCCUGGUAGUCCACGCCGUAAACGAUGUCGAUUUGGAGGUUGUGCCCUUGAGGCGUGGCUUCCGGAGCUAACGCGUUAAAUCGACCGCCUGGGGAGUACGGCCGCAAGGUUAAAACUCAAAUGAAUUGACGGGGGCCCGCACAAGCGGUGGAGCAUGUGGUUUAAUUCGAUGCAACGCGAAGAACCUUACCUGGUCUUGACAUCCACAGAACUUAGCAGAGAUGCUUUGGUGCCUUCGGGAACUGUGAGACAGGUGCUGCAUGGCUGUCGUCAGCUCGUGUUGUGAAAUGUUGGGUUAAGUCCCGCAACGAGCGCAACCCUUAUCCUUUGUUGCCAGCGGUUAGGCCGGGAACUCAAAGGAGACUGCCAGUGAUAAACUGGAGGAAGGUGGGGAUGACGUCAAGUCAUCAUGGCCCUUACGACCAGGGCUACACACGUGCUACAAUGGCAUAUACAAAGAGAAGCGACCUCGCGAGAGCAAGCGGACCUCAUAAAGUAUGUCGUAGUCCGGAUUGGAGUCUGCAACUCGACUCCAUGAAGUCGGAAUCGCUAGUAAUCGUAGAUCAGAAUGCUACGGUGAAUACGUUCCCGGGCCUUGUACACACCGCCCGUCACACCAUGGGAGUGGGUUGCAAAAGAAGUAGGUAGCUUAACCUUCGGGAGGGCGCCUACCACUUUGUGAUUCAUGACUGGGGUG